rnacentral:rRNA from 1 species
UACAGAGGGUGCAAGCGUUAAUCGGAUUUACUGGGCGUAAAGCGUGUGUAGGUGGCUUCCUAAGUCGGUUGUGAAAUCCCGGGGCUCAACCUCGGAAUUGCAUUCAAUACUGCUUCGCUCGAGUACUGGAGAGGAGGCUGGAAUUUACGGUGUAGCAGUGAAAUGCGUAGAUAUCGUAAGGAAGGCCGGUGGCGAAAGCGAGCCUCUGGACAGUUACUGACGCUGAUGCACGAAGGCCAGGGGAGCAAACGGG